CCUCUCCAUGUCCAUCGAAUAUGGCACAAAAAGUCAUACUCCUUCUCUGUUUAUGCAUAUGCUAAGUGCUGAAGGAAAGCGAAGCGGUGUGGAGUGAGUGAGACUGUGAGAGUGAGAGUGAGUGCGAGUGAGAGAUGGGUCUGCUUACAAACAAAGUAUUGAGACAUGAAAUCAAGCCUGGCGAUCACAUCUACACUUACAGAGCUGUUUUCGCUUACUCUCAUCAUGGGAUUUUUGUUGGGGGAAGCAAGGUUGUGCAUUUCAGACCUGCGCGAAACUUGAAGUCAAUCACCGAGACAUCUUCAGACCUGGAUGAUCAAACAUCAGACCCAUGUCCAACCUUUCCCGAUUGUGGAUUCAGGCAGCCAAACAGUGGCGUGGUUCUUUCUUGCCUAGACUGCUUCCUUCGAAAUGGGUCCAUUUACUGUUUUGAGUAUGGUGUUUCACCAUCCGUUUUUCUUACCAAAAUACGGGGAGGCACAUGCACUACUGCAUUAUCUGAUCCACCGGAGACCGUGAUCCAUCGGGCAAUGUAUCUGCUUCAAAAUGGCUUCGGCAACUAUAAUGUGUUUCAGAACAAUUGUGAGGAUUUUGCUUUGUACUGCAGAACUGGCCUAUUGAUAGUGGAUAAGCAAGGGGUUGGAAGAAGUGGCCAAGCUUCUUCCAUUAUCGGUGCCCCGCUGGCUGCAAUGCUUUCUUCUCCACACUGACAUUGGUGUGAGAAGUGAUGUGAUCAAGGUUGGAGUCGAAGACUUGGCCGUGAACUUGGGAUGGCAUUGCCCUGAUCAGAUGCAAGAGGAGGAGGAGGAGGAGGAGGAGGUGGUGGAUCCUGGAGUGGAAACUUCAGACACACAGAUUACCACUGUCAGAUGACUUGGGCAUUUAUUCAUCCGUAUAUGCCUAGGUUAUGGGACCUUCAUGUUAACCUUAGUGCUAUUGGUUUCUAGUUAUUCAACUUGUGCAUGGAGUGAUGUAACAAUAAUAUAAUAUUCAGUAUUAAUGAAGUAUAAAUCCGAUGUUUUCCUUUUGAUUGCUCCAAA